rnacentral:rRNA from 1 species
CCUACGGGAGGCAGCAGUGGGGAAUAGUGGGCAAUGGGCGCAAGCCUGACCCAGCAACGCCGCGUGAAGGAAGCAGGCUUUCGGGUUGUAAACUUCUUGUAGCAGGGACGAAGCAAGUGACGGUACCUGAUGAAUAAGCCACGGCUAACUACGGGCCAGCAGCCGCGGUAAUACGUAGGGGGCAAGCGUUAGCCGGAUUUACUGGAGGUAAAGGGCGAGUAGGCGGGCGUGAAAGUCAGAGGUGACAACUAGGGGCUCAACCCCGUGCCUGCAUUUGCAACGGUACUUCUUGAGCGCUGGAGAGGCAAUCGGACUUCCGUUUGUAGCGGUUACAUGCGUAGCUCUCCGGAGGAACCCCAGUGGCGCCGGCGGAUUGCUGGACCGUACCUGACGCUGCGGCGCG